GGGUUGUGAGGUUAAGCGACUAAGCGUACACGGUGGAUGCCCUGGCAGUCAGAGGCGAUGAAGGACGUGCUAAUCUGCGAAAAGCGUCGGUAAGGUGAUAUGAACCGUUAUAACCGGCGAUGUCCGAAUGGGGAAACCCAGUGCAAUUCGUUGCACUAUCGUUAACUGAAUACAUAGGUUAACGAGGCGAACCGGGGGAACUGAAACAUCUAAGUACCCCGAGGAAAAGAAAUCAACCGAGAUUCCCCCAGUAGCGGCGAGCGAACGGGGAGCAGCCCAGAGUCUGAAUCAGCUUGUGUGUUAGUGGAACGGUCUGGAAAGUCCGACGGUACAGGGUGAUAGUCCCGUACACCAAAAUGCACAGGUUGUGAACUCGAAGAGUAGGGCGGGACACGUGGUAUCCUGUCUGAAUAUGGGGGGACCAUCCUCCAAGGCUAAAUACUCCUGACUGACCGAUAGUGAACCAGUACCGUGAGGGAAAGGCGAAAAGAACCCCGGCGAGGGGAGUGAAAAAGAACCUGAAACCGUGUACGUACAAGCAGUGGGAGCACCUUCGGGUGUGACUGCGUACCUUUUGUAUAAUGGGUCAGCGACUUAUAUUCUGUAGCAAGGUUAACCGUAUAGGGGAGCCGCAGGGAAACCGAGUCUUAACUGGGCGUUAAGUUGCAGGGUAUAGACCCGAAACCCGGUGAUCUAGCCAUGGGCAGGUUGAAGGUUGGGUAACACUAACUGGAGGACCGAACCGACUAAUGUUGAAAAAUUAGCGGAUGACUUGUGGCUGGGGGUGAAAGGCCAAUCAAACCGGGAGAUAGCUGGUUCUCCCCGAAAGCUAUUUAGGUAGCGCCUCGUGAACUCAUCUUCGGGGGUAGAGCACUGUUUCGGCUAGGGGGUCAUCCCGACUUACCAACCCGAUGCAAACUACGAAUACCGAAGAAUGUUAUCACGGGAGACACACGGCGGGUGCUAACGUCCGUCGUGAAGAGGGAAACAACCCAGACCGCCAGCUAAGGUCCCAAAGUCAUGGUUAAGUGGGAAACGAUGUGGGAAGGCACAGACAGCCAGGAUGUUGGCUUAGAAGCAGCCAUCAUUUAAAGAAAGCGUAAUAGCUCACUGGUCGAGUCGGCCUGCGCGGAAGAUGUAACGGGGCUAAACCAUGCACCGAAGCUGCGGCAGCGACACUAUGUGUUGUUGGGUAGGGGAGCGUUCUGUAAGCCUGCGAAGGUGUGCUGUGAGGCAUGCUGGAGGUAUCAGAAGUGCGAAUGCUGACAUAAGUAACGAUAAAGCGGGUGAAAAGCCCGCUCGCCGGAAGACCAAGGGUUCCUGUCCAACGUUAAUCGGGGCAGGGUGAGUCGACCCCUAAGGCGAGGCCGAAAGGCGUAGUCGAUGGGAAACAGGUUAAUAUUCCUGUACUUGGUGUUACUGCGAAGGGGGGACGGAGAAGGCUAUGUUAGCCGGGCGACGGUUGUCCCGGUUUAAGCAUGUAGGCUGGUUAUCCAGGCAAAUCCGGAUAAUCAAGGCUGAGGUGUGAUGACGAGGCACUACGGUGCUGAAGUAACAAAUGCCCUGCUUCCAGGAAAAGCCUCUAAGCAUCAGGUAACAUCAAAUCGUACCCCAAACCGACACAGGUGGUCAGGUAGAGAAUACCAAGGCGCUUGAGAGAACUCGGGUGAAGGAACUAGGCAAAAUGGUGCCGUAACUUCGGGAGAAGGCACGCUGGUGUGUAGGUGAAGCCCCUGCGGGUGGAGCUGAGACCAGUCGAAGAUACCAGCUGGCUGCAACUGUUUAUUAAAAACACAGCACUGUGCAAACACGAAAGUGGACGUAUACGGUGUGACGCCUGCCCGGUGCCGGAAGGUUAAUUGAUGGGGUUAUCCGUAAGGAGAAGCUCUUGAUCGAAGCCCCGGUAAACGGCGGCCGUAACUAUAACGGUCCUAAGGUAGCGAAAUUCCUUGUCGGGUAAGUUCCGACCUGCACGAAUGGCGUAAUGAUGGCCAGGCUGUCUCCACCCGAGACUCAGUGAAAUUGAACUCGCUGUGAAGAUGCAGUGUACCCGCGGCAAGACGGAAAGACCCCGUGAACCUUUACUAUAGCUUGACACUGAACAUUGAGCCUUGAUGUGUAGGAUAGGUGGGAGGCUUUGAAGCGUGGACGCCAGUCUGCGUGGAGCCAACCUUGAAAUACCACCCUUUAAUGUUUGAUGUUCUAACGUUGGCCCCUUACCGGGGUUGCGGACAGUGUCUGGUGGGUAGUUUGACUGGGGCGGUCUCCUCCCAAAGCGUAACGGAGGAGCACGAAGGUUAGCUAAUCCUGGUCGGACAUCAGGAGGUUAGUGCAAUGGCAUAAGCUAGCUUGACUGCGAGCGUGACGGCGCGAGCAGGUGCGAAAGCAGGUCAUAGUGAUCCGGUGGUUCUGAAUGGAAGGGCCAUCGCUCAACGGAUAAAAGGUACUCCGGGGAUAACAGGCUGAUACCGCCCAAGAGUUCAUAUCGACGGCGGUGUUUGGCACCUCGAUGUCGGCUCAUCACAUCCUGGGGCUGAAGUAGGUCCCAAGGGUAUGGCUGUUCGCCAUUUAAAGUGGUACGCGAGCUGGGUUUAGAACGUCGUGAGACAGUUCGGUCCCUAUCUGCCGUGGGCGCUGGAGAAUUGAGGGGGGCUGCUCCUAGUACGAGAGGACCGGAGUGGACGCAUCACUGGUGUUCGGGUUGUCAUGCCAAUGGCACUGCCCGGUAGCUAAAUGCGGAAGAGAUAAGUGCUGAAAGCAUCUAAGCACGAAACUUGCCCCGAGAUGAGUUCUCCCUGAGACUUUAAGUCUCCUGAAGGAACGUUAAAGACGAUGACGUUGAUAGGCCGGGUGUGUAAGCGCAGCGAUGCGUUGAGCUAACCGGUACUAAUGAACCGUGAGGCUUAACCUUACAACGCCGAAG
rnacentral:rRNA from 1 species